AGCUUUGCGCAGUGGCAGUAUCAUAGCCAAUGAGGGUUAGCCGAGGCGCGAUUAUUGCUAACUGAAAACUUUUCCCAGUAUCCCGCCAUGAUGAUUUGAAAUAUAGUCGGCAUUGGCAAUAUUUGGCAGUCUCUACGGGGA
rnacentral:snRNA from 1 species